rnacentral:rRNA from 1 species
CCUGGCUCAGAACGAACGCUGGCGGCAGGCUUAACACAUGCAAGUCGAACGCGUGUAGCAAUACACGAGUGGCGCACGGGUGAGUAACACGUGGAUAUCUGCCUUUUGGUUCGGAAUAACCCCGGGAAACUGGGGCUAAUACCGGAUGGUUCCUACGGGAUAAAGAUUUAUCGCCAAAAGAUGAGUCCGCGUCCGAUUAGCUAGUUGGCGGGGUAAUGGCCCACCAAGGCGACGAUCGGUAGCUGGUCUGAGAGGACGAUCAGCCACACUGGGACUGAGACACGGCCCAGACUCCUACGGGAGGCAGCAGUGGGGAAUAUUGGACAAUGGGGGCAACCCUGAUGCAGCCACGCCCGCGUGAGUGAUGAAGGCCUUCGGGUUGUAAAGCUCUUUUGGCGGGGACGAUGAUGACGGUACCCGCAGAAUAAAGCCCCGGCUAACUUCGUGCCAGCAGCCCGCGGUAAGACCAAGGGGGGCUAGCGUUGUUCGGAAUUACUGGGGCGUAAAGCGCGUGCAGGCGGUUGCCCAAAGUCGGGUGUGAAAGCCUUGAGCUCACCUCAAGAAAUGCACUCGAUACUUGGUGACUAGAAGAACCGGAGAGGAUAGGGGAAUUCCCAGUGGAAUGGGGGAAUCCGUAAAGAUUGGGAAGAACACCGGGGGGAGGGGGCUUUUC